GACGUAGGGUGCAAGCGUUGUCCGGAUUUACUGGGCGUAAAGAGCGCGUAGGCGGCUCGUUAAGUGUGAAGUGAAAUCUCCAGGGCUCAACCCGGAAACUGCUUUACAUACUGGCGAGCUGGAGUGAUGAAGAGGUUUGUGGAAUUCCUGGUGUAACGGUGAAAUGUGUUGAUAUCAGGAGGAACACCCAUGGCGAAGGCAGCAAACUGGUCAUCAACUGACGCUGAGGCGCGAAAGCGUGGGUAGCAAACAGGAUUAGAAACCCCGGUAGUCC
rnacentral:rRNA from 1 species